CCUCUCUCCUUCAAAGUGAUUUCCAGGGCCAGCCCAGUGACACAGUGGUUAGGUUCCCACGUUCCACUUCGGCAACCCGGCGUUUGCAGGUUUGGAUCCUGGGCACAGACCCACGCACCGCUCAUCAAGCCAUGCUGUGGCGGCA